AACCUACUAGCUCAAUUGGUAGAGCAAUAUGCAAAUGCGUAAAGAUGUGGGUUCGAAUCUUACGUAGGUUG
rfam:Spinacia oleracea cultivar SynViroflay scaffold34238.con0004.1, whole genome shotgun sequence.